rnacentral:rRNA from 1 species
GACGAACGCUGGCGGCGCGCUUAACACAUGCAAGUCGUGCGAUACCUCGAGCGAGUCUUACGACAAGCUCAAGGUAGAGCGGCGGACGGGUGAGUAACACGUGAGUAGCUGUCCUAAGGAGGGGGAUAACGCCUGGAAACGGGUGCUAAAACCCCAUAUGCCUCGCAAGAGGUGAAAGUGUAUUACUACAGCCUUAGGGUGUGCUCGCGGCCUAUCAGCUAGUUGGUGAGGUAAUGGCUCACCAAGGCUAAGACGGGUAGCCGGCCUGAGAGGGUGUACGGCCACACUGGAAUUGAGAUACGGUCCAGACUCCUACGGGAGGCAGCAGUGGGGAAUCUUGGGCAAUGGGCGAAAGCCUGACCCAGCGACGCCGCGUUGGGGAUGAAGCCCUUCGGGGUGUAAACCCAUGUUGUAGGGGACGAAGAAAGUGACGGUACCCUACGAGGAAGCCCCGGCUAACUACGUGCCAGCAGCCGCGGUAAGACGUAGGGGGCGAGCGUUGUCCGGAAUUACUGGGCGUAAAGGGCACGCAGGCGGUGCGCCAAGUCGAGGGUGUAAAGUUACGGCUCAACCGUGACAUUGCAAUCGAUACUGGCGCGCUGGAGUGCGGGAGAGGGAAGUGGAAUUCCCGGUGUAGCGGUGAAAUGCGUAGAUAUCGGGAGGAACGCCAGUGGCGAAGGCGGCUUCCUGGCCCGCGACUGACGCUCAUGUGCGAAAGCCAGGGGAGCGAACC